CAACGCCGCGUGAGCGAUGAAGGCCUUCGGGUCGUAAAGCUCUGUCGUUAGAGAAGAACAAGUACGAGAGUAACUGCUCGUACCUUGACGGUACCUAACCAGAAAGCCACGGCUAACUACGUGCCAGCAGCCGCGGUAAUACGUAGGUGGCAAGCGUUAUCCGGAAUUAUUGGGCGUAAAGCGCGCGCAGGCGGUCUCUUAAGUCUGAUGUGAAAGCCCACGGCUCAACCGUGGAGGGUCAUUGGAAACUGGGAGACUUGAGUGCAGGAGAGAAAAGUGGAAUUCCACGUGUAGCGGUGAAAUGCGUAGAGAUGUGGAGGAACACCAGUGGCGAAGGCGGCUUUUUGGCCUGUAACUGACGCUGAGGCGCGAAAGCGUGGGGAGCAAACAGGAUUAGAUACCCUGGUAGUCCACGCCGUAAACGAUGAGUGCUAGGUGUUGGGGGGUUCCACCCUCAGUGCUGAAGUUAACACAUUAAGCACUCCGCCUGGGGAGUACGACCGCAAGGUUG
rnacentral:rRNA from 1 species